rnacentral:rRNA from 1 species
AUUGAACGCUGGCGGCAGGCCUAACACAUGCAAGUCGAACGGUAGCACAGAGAGCUUGCUCUCGGGUGACGAGUGGCGGACGGGUGAGUAAUGCCUGGGAAACUGCCCGAUGGAGGGGGAUAACUACUGGAAACGGUAGCUAAUACCGCAUAACGUCGCAAGACCAAAGUGGGGGACCUUCGGGCCUCACGCCAUCGGAUGUGCCCAGAUGGGAUUAGCUAGUAGGUGGGGUAAUGGCUCACCUAGGCGACGAUCCCUAGCUGGUCUGAGAGGAUGACCAGCCACACUGGAAAUGAGACACGGUCCAGACUCCUACGGGAGGCAGCAGUGGGGAAUAUUGCACAAUGGGCGCAAGCCUGAUGCAGCCAUGCCGCGUGUAUGAAGAAGGCCUUCGGGUUGUAAAGUACUUUCAGCGGGGAGGAAGGCGGUGAAGUUAAUAACUUCACCGAUUGACGUUACCCGCAGAAGAAGCACCGGCUAACUCCGUGCCAGCCGCCGCCGUAA